CAGUCGCCGCGGUAAUACAGAGGGUGCGAGCGUUAAUCGGAUUUACUGGGCGUAAAGCGUGCGUAGGCGGCUUCUUAAGUCGGAUGUGAAAUCCCUGAGCUUAACUUAGGAAUUGCAUUCGAUACUGGGAAGCUAGAGUAUGGGAGAGGAUGGUAGAAUUCCAGGUGUAGCGGUGAAAUGCGUAGAGAUCUGGAGGAAUACCGAUGGCGAAGGCAGCCAUCUGGCCUAAUACUGACGCUGAGGUACAAAAGCAUGGGGAGCAAACAGGAUUAGAUACCCGUGUAGUCCCUGUCUCUUAUAC
rnacentral:rRNA from 1 species